rnacentral:lncRNA from 1 species
UGCGAACAUUAGGAACGAAGGAAACAACAGAUGACAAAUGAUUGAUGAAGUACAACAUUUCAAAGAUGAGUGACCAUUAGGAAGCAUUUUGAAGUGCAAUGAGUAAAUUGUGAUCAAGUAUAAGUUGGAUGAGUAAUGAAACAAUAGUUAAGUUGAACUGUAAUUUCUUUAAUGGUUGUAACUUGUCACCUCAGAUUUCCGUAAGCCACGUCAGCGAAUAAGGUAACGGAUUUUUUUAGGGUGAUGGAUGGAGUGCAAACGGAUAAAGUUCAGUGAGCACUGUGAAGCGUUUUGAAGUUUUGUGAGUAAAACAUGACCUUCGUAUAAGUUGGGUGAUUAUUGGAACAAUUAACUCGGAAAAUUAAUGUAUAGAGAUGUCUUCCUUGGAUUGUCAAUUGACAGAAUCUUGCAUGAUGUUUUUUUUACCUCGUUAAAUACCCUCGAUUAACAAUAAUCUUCAGGUUAUGUAGGUGUAAAUGUGUACUGUUGGACUUGUUUGCCUUAUCGGCCAGAAAGCUUUGAGUGAUCUGCAGAACACUAUACGCUUAAAUAGAAAUUUUCCAGUUUAGUAUUACAGUGUUCUUCAUUGAUGUGCAAUUUCACGGGCUUUGAAUGGUUGACAAUUGGACGACUAACUGAAGUAUCUGAUGAUUACUUCUGUUUUACCAGAGCAAAUGGAGUCUGAAGUAGAAAAGAGCGGCAGCUGGUGGAUACAUGUUAAACAAGCUUCUGAUGGGACAAAAUGAACAGCUUUUGACGCGCAUGAAGAUAUCGUACCUUGAAGAUGGUCCAUUUUAGUUCGUUGUUUGAUAAGACGAGAGGAAUAAGUGCUAAAGCUACAGCUAUUUUGUAUUUUGAUUUGUAUGAUAUGUAGUCGAAUAGAUCAAAAAGGUAGCCUAUGGGUUUGCAUAUGAAGAGAAACCAAAGCUCAAGACUAUUCGACUAGAAAGGUAGCCUAUGGGUUUGCAUAUGAAGAGACUACCAAAGCUCAAGACUAUCUCAUUGCAAAAUACUUUUGUGUAGAUGCGUACUUUUUAAAUAGAUACUUUUUAAGCUAAUUCAAACGUGUUCUAAAAUGGCUUAUCUCUACAUGGUGUAAUAUGAGGCAAAAAAAUGGACAUACGAGACCUUAAGUAUCGUAGGGUUGUUCAAUAAAACUUGUGACUAAAGUUUUGGUAGAUUUUGAUUAAAGUUGAUGAAAUUUGUAGUUGAAAAGUUGAUGAAAAUUGUAAGUUCCAUCAAAUGUGUGAUUAGAAAUGAGAUUUGACCUCAAAUUUUUAGCAAAUUUUAA